rnacentral:rRNA from 1 species
UACUCGAGUGGCGAACGGGUGAGUAACACGUGGGUGAUCUGCCCUGCACUUCGGGAUAAGCUUGGGAAACUGGGUCUAAUACCGGAUAGGAACCAUCUUUAGUGUGGUGGUUGGAAAGUUUUUUCGGUGUAGGAUGAGCUCGCGGCCUAUCAGCUUGUUGGUGGGGUAAUGGCCUACCAAGGCGGCGACGGGUAGCCGGCCUGAGAGGGUGUACGGCCACAUUGGGACUGAGAUACAGCCCAG